rnacentral:lncRNA from 1 species
GAAGUGUAAAACAUGUAAAAAUAUAUAUAUAUAUACAAUCACUCAUAUAUAAAAAAAUGUAAAUGCUUUAAAUUAAAGAUCAAAUUUAUUCAUUACAUUCUUAUAGGGUCGAGGAGUGUAUCUGUAAAAAAAUCAUCAAAAUUGAAACUCAAAUAACCGUUAAAUUGUGAUUUUUCGUUUAUAACCGUCGAAAACUUUUGUUCCGUUACGUAAUCUCUGAAUGUUUAUUUUUUAUGAUUUUUUACGUAUGCGAUCUCGGAAUGUGUACAAAUAAGUUUGACGGUUUGAUCAUUGAAAAAAGUUUUGUAGAAUGUAUAUUGCGUCAAAACAGUAGAUUAAACAAACACUUAGAGUUAAUAUUAUACUUUUAUUAAGUAUAAAAUAAGUUUUUGUGGUAUCCACUAGUGUAAAUACUUUAAAUUAAAGAUCAAAUUUAUUCAUUACAUUCUUAUAGGGUCAAGGAGUGUAUCUGUAAAAAAUCAUCAAAAUCGGAGAUAAAAUAAUCAUUAAAUUGUGAUUUUUCGUUUAUAACCGUCGAAAACUUUUGUUCCAUUACGUAAUCUCUGAAUGUUUGUUUUUUUUUAUUUUUUACGUAUGCGAUCUUGGAAUGUGUACAAAUAAGUUUGACGGUUGGAUCGUUGAAAAAAGUUUCGUAGAAUGCAUAUUGCGUCAAAAUUGUAGAUUAAACAAACACUUAGAGUUAAUAUUAUACUUCUAUUAAGUAUAAAAUAAGUUUUUAUGGUAUCCACUAGUGUAAAUACUUUAAAUUAAAGAUCAAAUUUAUUCAUUACAUUUUUAUAGGGUCAAGGAGUGUAUCUGUAAAAAAUCAUCAAAAUCGGAGCUAAAAUAACCGUUAAAUUGUGAUUUUUCGUUUAUAACCGUCGAAAACUUUUGUUCCGUUACGUAAUCUCUGAAUGUUUGUUUUUUAUGAUUUUUUACGUAUGCGAUCUCGGAAUGUGUAAAAAUAAGUUUGACGGUUGAAUCGUUGAAAAAAGUUUUGUAGAAUGCAUAUUGUGUCAAAACAGUAGAUUAAACAAACACUUAAUAUUAUACUUCUAUUAAGUAUAAAAUAAGUUUUUGUGGUAUCCACUAGUGUAAAUACUUUAAAUUAAAGAUCAAAUUUAUUCAUUACAUUCUUAUAGGGUCGAGGAGUGUAUCUGUAAAAAAAAUCAUCAAAAUCAGAGAUGAAAUAAACCGUUAAAUUGUGAUUUUUCGUUUAUAACCGUCGAAAACUUUUGUUCCAUUACGCAAUCUCUGAAUGUUUGUUUUUUACGAUUUUUAACGUAUGCGAUCUUGGAACGUGUACAAAUAAGUUUGACGGUUGGAUCAUUGAAAAAAGUUUUGUAGAAUGCAUAUUGCGUCAAAACGGUAGAUUAAACAAACACUUAGAGUUAAUAUUAUACUUCUAUUAACUAUAAAAUAAGUUUUUGUGGUAUCCACUAGUGUAAAUUCUUUAAAUUAAAGAUCAAAUUUAUUCAUUACAUUCUUAUAGGGUCGAGGAGUGUAUUUGUAAAAAAUCAUCAAAAUCGGAGCUCAAAUUACCGUUAAAUUGUGAUUUUUCGUUUAUAACCGUCGAAAACUUUUGUUCUAUUACGUAAUCUCUGAAUGUUUGUUUUUUACGAUUUUUUACGUAUGCGAUCUCGAAAUGUGUACAAAUAAGUUUGACGGUUGGAUCGUUGAAAAAAGUUUUGUAGAAUGCAUAUUGCGUCAAAACGGUAGAUUAAACAAACACUUAGAGUUAAUAUUAUACUUCUAUUAAGUAU